GUUGCCGGUACGGCCUUCGGAGUCGGCAGAUGUCGGUCGGUGGGUCAGUUCACGCCAGACAGCUUCCGAACGAGCUGUGGGGCCUGUGUUUCUGUGGAGGAAAGCGCGCUGUCGUUCUGUGUUAUACAGCGUACUAUUCUAGCAAGACUGUGACGAGACGCAGAGAUCGCAGGUUCUACAGUUUCCGCACUGAAGAAAAGCUCCUCAUUACGGAACCACAAGAUUAUCGUUGUUGAUUCGGCGGCAGGUGCAAGACGACACAUCUUCUUACUCACACCGGUGUUGGGAUGGCGAAGUGGCCUCCAGCGCCAAUUACGGCUGGAGAUUGAGGCGACUGCUGGAGCGUGGAUACACGCCGCCAAUUACUGGCAUCCCGCCGAGUGCAGCGGGCUGUGCGCUUCGCACGUCGGCAGGUGUCGCAUCGCUGGUUCCAGUCCGUAACGCCCGGGUUGGCUGCGUUCAGAGACUCGGCGUGAAACUGACACCUACUGUGGGCCGUUUUCCGGCGGCGACUCUGCAGACGUCAGACAAGAUUCCCCUCGCCGAGUCUCAAAGCAAGGACCAUCUCCAGGAGCCCGACGAGGCGCUGGAUCAACACACUGACUGCGACAUCGCUGUCCGAGUGUAACCCUGCACAACUACCUACUAAAAUUUACGAUUGCAGAUGAUACCGACUGACGGUUCACCGCCAAUCUCGUAUUCUCAGCAGAGUGUGUAAAACAGGACGUUUUGUAUGUACAUUAUACGUGACACACCACUGGAGAACUUAUAAUUGUAAUUAACUAGUGCAUAAAAUGACGGUGAUGAAACGCUUUGAAUAAAAUAU